CUACGGGCCGCAGCAGUGGGGAAUAUUGGACAAUGGGGGAAACCCUGAUGCAGCAACGCCGCGUGGAGGAUGACACUUUUCGGAGCGUAAACUCCUUUUAUAUAGGAAGAAGAUGACGGUACUAUAUGAAUAAGCGCCGGCUAACUCCGUGCCAGCAGCCGCGGUAAUACGGAGGGCGCAAGCGUUACUCGGAAUCACUGGGCGUAAAGAGCGUGUAGGCGGAUUAAAAAGUCAGAAGUGAAAUCCUAUAGCUUAACUAUAGAACUGCUUCUGAAACUCUUAAUCUAGAAUAUGGGAGAGGUAGAUGGAAUUUCUGGUGUAGGGGUAAAAUCCGUAGAGAUCAGAAGGAAUACCGAUUGCGAAGGCGAUCUACUAGAACAUUAUUGACGCUGAGACGCGAAAGCGUGGGGAGCAAACAGGAUUAGAUACCCCCAUAGUC
rnacentral:rRNA from 1 species